CCUUAGCACAGACUUGGUUGGUAUCAUCAUCAAUCUCAUGGAGGUGCGAGCGCUUGCGGCUAUAUAUAUCCCCCUCCCUUCCGAGGAGAGCGUGCGAUCAUAUCUUCUCCGAACGAGUGCCUACUUAUCUGCAAAUGAGCGAAGAUAUCAAGUUCGGGCCGUGGGGUGGGAAUGGAGGGACGACGUGUGAUACUUCCGAAACUCAAGGCAUCAACGAAAUCAAGAUUUACCAUGGAAAUGCCAUAUACGGGUUGAUUAUAACCUACUUCAUCAAUGGCGAACCCCAAACCCUGAGUGUUGGAGACACAAGAGGUGAAUUGAAACAGAUCAUUCUCGGGGAGAACGAGUACUUCAACUCAAUCUCAGGAUUUUAUGGUCGUUUGGGAGGAGCUACUGUCAUAAAACAGCUUACUCUUCACACCAACAGUGGCAAAAAUGUAACUGUUGGUACGAAGCAAGAGGGAGACUUGCCCUUGCCUUGUAACCCACCACCACUUCCUCCUCCUCCUCCUUACAAGAUCGUGGGAUUUUUUGGACGUGCAAGCACAGCUAUCGACGCAAUUGGAAUUUACUGCAAGAAGAUAACCUUAGGGUAAAAACUAGUCCAUGAAUGCCGAAGGGAAAUCGCUGCUACAUUGAUGCUCUAGUAAAUAAGUAGCGGCAGCUGAUGUUCGUCUCCUUGUGAUCAUCGUCGUCGUCGUUGUACUCGUCGCUUAAUGUAUCUUUGAAUACAUUAUGAUGUGUUUGUGGGUCCUCUUUGAUA